rnacentral:tRNA from 1 species
GCCGGGGUGUCGGAACUGGCAGACGACGGCGACUCAAAAUCGUCUGGGGUCACCCCCCGUGCGGGUUCGAAUCCCGCCCCCGGCACCA